CAACAUCCGGUUUCUCAUCCUUCCAGGAGUAACCUGCAAUACAUUUUGGAAUAGACUGUACAUCACAUAGAGCGGUUGAUGAUGGCUGGUGGGUCGGGGGUGCUUCUGUUAUUGAGGGUUUUUUUGAGAGUUAAUCCUUCUCUCUUCAGUUUGUUCCUACAAAUUUCAACCCCGUUAGCGGAAUUUCAUUCCCACGAUACACUCAUCCUUAAAUUAGCUAUCAAGCUGGGGGAGGUUCCCAGGCUACCCUAUCAUUGAUCGAUCUUUCUUCUCUCGACCUCCUCAGUAUUUCUAUAGAUUCGGUACAACUGGUUGUGUGCGGUUCGGUAUGGGUUUGGUCUGUUUAGCCUCCUUCCAAUCUAUACUGGUGUUUUUAUUGUAGGCUGCUGAGGCUGAUGAUGUGCUGGGCUUUGCUUGCAUUAUGUCUCUCUUGUGUUCCAUCAUACAUCUUCCUAUUGUUCUCGAGGUCACCCCGGUAUAUGCUGACUUUUCACCGUAUAUUGGUGUUUAGUGUCCUAAAGAAUGAGAAGGACCUGCUGAAACAGGAAGAAAGGAAAGGUGUGUAUAGUGUCCUUAUAACUGACAACAAUUCGAAUGAAAGGUCAGCAUAUAUUGGAGUGACUUCGGGAAUGAUGGGAAGGUGUAUGAUGGAACACAGGAGGCAUAAUGCAAGCAAAGCUUAGCAUAUCAUUA
rnacentral:lncRNA from 1 species